rnacentral:rRNA from 1 species
UACGUAGGGGGCAAGCGUUGUCCGGAUUUAUUGGGCGUAAAGAGCGUGUAGGCGGCUAGAUAGGUCCGUUGUGAAAACUCGAGGCUCAACCUCGAGACGUCGAUGGAAACCAUCUGGCUAGAGUCCGGAAGAGGAGAGUGGAAUUCCUGGUGUAGCGGUGAAAUGCGCAGAUAUCAGGAAGAACACCCGUGGCGAAGGCGGCUCUCUGGUACGUGACUGACGCUGAGACGCGAAAGCGUGGGGAGCAAUCCGG